UAUGAAAUUAGCACUAUCUAAUUUGGUAAGUAACAAAAUUAAAUAAGGAAACAAAUAUUUAUGUAGAGUUAAUCAAAUUUGGUAAUUAGCUUGUAUUUGUUUUUCCAUAUUACCCUUACGAAUGGUAACUUAUUGAGCAGGUAACUACUAUUGAAAAGUCAAUCUCGCUUUUAAAAUAUUAACGGCUAGAUUUAAUUUAGCCGGUGUAUUGAAGCAUUCCUCCCAAUUAAAUUUGAUAUAAAGUACUUAUAAAUUUAAUAAAACUAUC
rnacentral:lncRNA from 1 species